AUCUAUCUCACGGCCGCCGAAGCUUUCUUCCUUCUCUCUCCUUUCCUCUCUCUCGCUCUCUUUCUCUCUCUAACAAUGAUCUACCUUGAAAGCCGCCUUUGUCAAAACCUUGAAACCCGUCGUCCUUAAGCUAAAAUAUCCCUGAAAAGAACCCAGAAAGUGCUGUGAAGAAUUUGGGCAAAGCUAAGGUUUGAAAGUCCGAAUCAGUGUUGUGGUAACUCUUUGUCUCAUUCUCUAUUCUCAUUGUUUAAGUAUUUAUCUGUUAAUUGAUUGAUGUUUAUUGAGUGCAAAUGAGAGCUUGCACUUGUUUGGAAAUCUAGCCAUCUAGGGUUUUUGUUGCUUAUAAUCUAAUUUAUUGUUUAAUAAAAUAAAUAAAACGCAACUUUAUUAUAGGUGGAAUUCAGUUUAUUAAGUGAAAGAAUGAUUACAAUCGGUGAUUAUGGAUUUAGGUUGAAUGCAAUUUGUUAAUUAAAAGAAUAAUGGCAAUCGACAAUCAUGGGUUUAGUAUGUAUUAUAUAUUUCGUUUAAUGGUGUGUAUGAAAACCCAAACCUAAAAUUUUCUUAAGUAAAAAUCUCCAUUCUCCCUCACGAAAUUAUUCUGAAAAUUUGAGGAUUGAUAGACUGUUGUUGUGAACGUGGUUGUUUCCGAACUUGACUAAAUGACUUUCAAUUGAUUUGAAAGUUUGAUUAAACUAAGUUUAAAUGAGAACAUUUUAAUUCUGGAAAUUUUGGAAUGAAUUGGGUUUAUAUUUGAUUUUGAAUGGAUUUCUCAAUAUGGUUGGUUGUUGUCCAAUUUUAUUAGAAAUUACAUAUGUACCAUGUUUGAUAUUGCAAACGUAUAGUCUAACAGAGUUAGAAUAAGCUGAAAUUCGGAUAAACUACACUUCUAUUUGCAUACUUCGAAUCUGGAAAAUUUUAUUUUUUUAAAUUGAAUAUAUAUUCAAACACCUGCUGCUACUUUUACAGUCUCAUAUGCAAUUUUGACAGAACUGUUCAUUAAUCUUUGAUCCUAUCAAACACCAGCCUAAUGAUAUCGGAAUAGCCUCAAAUUUUAAUAUGUUGUUGACUUAUAUGUCCACUUAAAAUCUGGAAAGUAUCAUUCUGAUAUAUUUAGUAUUUUAAAUUUAAUAUAUAUUCAAACACCUGCUGCUACUUUUACAGUUUCAUAUGCAAUUUUGACAGAACUGUUCAUUAAUCUUUGAUCCUAUCAAACACCAGCCUAAUGAUAUCGGAAUAGUUUCCUAUUAAAUCUGAUUAGUGAUAAAUCUACUAACUUGCAGUACUUUUCAGGGAAAAAAAUGUGUCAACACUGUGAAUUGCAAUGAGAGAAGAAAGUACCAAAGGCAAAUGUAGAGUUGUCCAAAUGACUUGGAAAUUUGAUUUGUGGUGCAUUGACAUGUCUAAUUAUGUUUUGUUCAUAGCAUUCCAAAUUAAAUUAAAGAAAAUCUUAAAUUCAAGCUGUCAACGUUUCCUAUUAAAUCUGAUUAGUGAUAAAUCUACUAACUUGCAGUACUUUUCAGGGAAAAAAAUGUGUCAACACUGUGAAUUGCAAUGAGAGAAGAAAGUACCAAAGGCAAAUGUAGAGUUGUCCAAAUGACUUGGAAAUUUGAUUUGUGGUGCAUUGACAUGUCUAAUUAUGUUUUGUUCAUAGCAUUCCAAAUUAAAUUAAAGAAAAUCUUAAAUUCAAGCUGUCAACGUUUCCUAUUAAAUCUGAUUAGUGAUAAAUCUACUAACUUGCAGUACUUUUCAGGGAAAAAAAUGUGUCAACACUGUGAAUUGCAAUGAGAGAAGAAAGUACCAAAGGCAAAUGUAGAGUUGUCCAAAUGACUUGGAAAUUUGAUUUGUGGUGCAUUGACAUGUCUAAUUAUGUUUUGUUCAUAGCAUUCCAAAUUAAAUUAAAGAAAAUCUUAAAUUCAAGCUGUCAACGUUUCCUAUUAAAUCUGAUUAGUGAUAAAUCUACUAACUUGCAGUACUUUUCAGGGAAAAAAAUGUGUCAACACUGUGAAUUGCAAUGAGAGAAGAAAGUACCAAAGGCAUAAAUCUUUUUUCAUUAUAUUUAGGACUAUUCUUAAAGGUUAGUCUUUUCCUUUUUCCUUUUUUCUUUUUUAUUUAAGGUAAUCAUAUUCUUUUUAAUUUUAAUUACAAUCAAUUUGGCGCUGUUAUACAACUCGCACCAACCAAUCAAUUUAUUAAUGUGACUAGAUGGAAGAUUGCCAUAUGUGGGGAAUAUAUGAAGUCAAGACCAAAGGUACAGCCAAUUGUCUCAUUUUUCAGAGUUAUAAUUGUGCGGCUUAUACACUUGCUUUUUUCUUUGCCAUUUUGCUUUUGAUAUGAAAUGAGUUUGUUUCUUUUCUUCUUUUCUUUACACUCUUAUUAUCUUCGUUGGGCAUAUAUUUUAACAGACAUGCUCUUGUGGAAUGGCUUGCAAUUUUAUCCACUGUUUCCGCAACCCUGGCGGAGACUAUGAAUGGGCUGAUUGGGAUAAACCACCUCCGAGAUAUUGGGUGAAAAAGAUGGCUGCUUUAUUUGGUUAUUCUGAUGAAUCUGGGACCUGGAAUCAAGAACGCUAAGGACAAACGAGGAACAAGAUAGAUUCAACUAAUGUCGACAGGUAUGAUUUUAUUACUAGUCAUAGACACUAAAAACUGUACUUGGUAUAUAUGAACUCUUGUUUAUUUAAUUCACUUUCUGUUAUUUGAAUUUUUUUAGUUUAAACUUCCAUGUUUGACCGAUGAUUUUGAGAGGUUUCUUCAUAGUAUCGUUCUCUUCAUUUGUGUUUUCUUCAAGUCUCCUAACUCGGUUUUCUUAGAAGCAAUGAAUAAUGAAAAGAUGUUCUUUCAAUGCAAGAUUUAAAGAAAGUUCUUCUGUUGGUUUUUUGGUCUAUUGUUCGAGUUUAAAACCCACUUUAAAAAAUGUAUGAAUAGUAUGUGGCGUAAUGACCAUGUUGCAAACAUGGCAAGAAAAUAAUUAGAUUCAACAAGAAGCCUUUGGUGAUGUAGCAUUGCAAUCUUAUGUACAAGGGAUGAUGAUCCAAACUAUGAUCAAAUUUCAUUAUUUAAUGUAUUUAUUGCUGAUGUUAGAAAUCUUCUGGUUAUUUAUGGUUUUGUAAUUUCUUAUGCAGGCAUCAUUACAGAAGGUCUAGAUCAAGGGAGGCUGAUCGUGUGAAAAGUGGUUCUGGCAN
rnacentral:lncRNA from 1 species